UACGGAGGGUGCAAGCGUUGUCCGGAUUUAUUGGGUUUAAAGGGUGCGUAGGCGGCCUUAUAAGUCAGUGGUGAAAGCCCAUCGCUCAACGAUGGAACUGCCAUUGAUACUGUAAGGCUUGAGUACAGACGAGGUAGGCGGAAUUGAUGGUGUAGCGGUGAAAUGCAUAGAUACCAUCAAGAACACCGAUUGCGUAGGCAGCUUACUAGGCGUAACUGACGCUGAGGCACGAAAAGCGUGGGGGAGCGAACAGG
rnacentral:rRNA from 1 species